GUCGUGGCUUGGGUUUUGCCAGCUGGCGUGUAUCUCCUCUAUGAGUAAUCAUGUGAGGUGCCAGAUCUAUGGCGUUUCCCUAAUGUAUCCGGAUGCACCCUUGUCUUGGCAGAAAGCCGUGGUGAGGUGCAGUGGCGGAAUCGUGGUUUAAUAAUCGGGUUGGUACUCAGUUGUCAGUGUGUUUGGCGAUCCCCUAGUCGGCACACUUAUGAUUUCUGGGAUAAUUCCAUACCAGGCACGUUCCGUCACUGUCACUUUGUCAUUGGUUUGAUGCUGAACUUGGUCAUGUGUCUGAUGCUAUUUUCAUAUAGCGACGGUACCCUUCGUGGUCUGUCUUCCUGACCUCGGUUCAGACGUGAUUACCCGCUGAACUUAAGCAUAUCA
rnacentral:rRNA from 1 species